rnacentral:rRNA from 1 species
GAACGAACGCUGGCGGCAGGCUUAACACAUGCAAGUCGAACGCACCUUUCGGGGUGAGUGGCAGACGGGUGAGUAACGCGUGGGAAUCUACCCUUCUCUACGGGGUAGCUCCGGGAAACUGGAAGUAAUACCGUAUACGUCCUGAGGGAGAAAGAUGUAUCGGGGAAGGAUGAGCCCGCGUUGGAUUAGCUAGUUGGUGGGGUAAAGGCGUACCAAGGCGACGAUCCAUAGCUGGUCUAAGAGGAUGAGCAGCCACAUUGGGACUGAGACACGGCCCAAACUCCUACGGGAGGGAGGAGUGGGGAAUACUGGACAACGGGCGCAAGCCUGAUCCAGCCAUGCCGCGUGAGUGAUGAAGGCCCUAGGGUUGUAAAGCUCUUUCAGGGGGGACGAUAAUGACGGUACCCACAGAAGAAGCCCCGGCUAACUUCGUG